UGGGAAUAUUGCACAAUGGGCGCAAGCCUGAUGCAGCGACGCCGCGUGAGGGAUGACGGCCUUCGGGUUGUAAACCUCUUUCAGCAGGGAAGAAGCGAAAGUGACGGUACCUGCAGAAGAAGCACCGGCUAACUACGUGCCAGCAGCCGCGGUAAUACGUAGGGUGCAAGCGUUGUUCGGAAUUAUUGGGCGUAAAGAGCUCGUAGGCGGUUUGUCGCGUCUGCUGUGAAAUCCCGAGGCUCAACCUCGGGCCUGCAGUGGGUACGGGCAGACUAGAGUGUGGUAGGGGAGACUGGAAUUCCUGGUGUAGCGGUGGAAUGCGCAGAUAUCAGGAGGAACACCGAUGGCGAAGGCAGGUCUCUGGGCCACUACUGACGCUGAGGAGCGAAAGCAUGGGGAGCGAAC
rnacentral:rRNA from 1 species